GUGCCAGCCGCCGCGGUAAUACGGGGGGUGCAAGCGUUGUUCGGAAUCAUUGGGCGUAAAGAGCGUGUAGGCGGCUGGAUAAGUCAGAUGUGAAAGCCCUGGGCUUAACCCAGGAAGUGCAUUUGAAACUAUUCAGCUGGAGUAAGGGAGAGGAAAGUGGAAUUCCUGGUGUAGAGGUGAAAUUCGUAGAUAUCAGGAGGAACACCGGCGGCGAAGGCGACUUUCUGGCCCUAUACUGACGCUGAGACGC
rnacentral:rRNA from 1 species